CCAUACCUUCAUAUUAAGGAAUCUACUAAAAAGUAGUCAGUACCACAAUAACAAUGUACGCAAAACUUCUACUUUUGAUUGUUACUCUCAUUUUACUCCUCGCAGGUAUAUGGUGCGAGGUGGAUGGGUGUUUUAACAGUUGCUUUCAAAGUUACCAAUUUGGCUCUGAGGACUUCCGCAAGUGCAACAGGAGCUGCGAACGUCAAUAAAUUAAUAAUGCGCAUUUUUUCAGCUUGUAAUUUUAUUACAAUAAAUAAUUAAGUACAACUAAUCGCGAUAUCAGGUACCAACGCUCAUUUUGGCCAGCUAUAAUUUUUACUGGUUGCUAUCUGCCACCCUUAUUCAAUUUGUAUAUGUGCAAAAUCACCUCAAACUUAAUUAUGGGUUAAAUGCACAAUUUUGUGUUUAUUAUGUGGUUCAUCCCUUUAAUAAAAUUAUUUGUGGCGAA